rnacentral:rRNA from 1 species
AUUGAACGCUGGCGGCAGGCCUAACACAUGCAAGUCGAGCGGAUGAGAGGAGCUUGCUUCUCGAUUCAGCGGCGGACGGGUGAGUAAUGCCUAGGAAUCUGCCUGGUAGUGGGGGACAACGUUUCGAAAGGAACGCUAAUACCGCAUACGUCCUGCGGGAGAAAGCAGGGGACCUUGGGGCAUUGCGCUAUCAGAUGAGCCUAGGUCGGAUUAGCUAGUUGGUGUGAUAAUGGCUCACUAAGGCGACGAUCCGUAACUGGUCUGAGGGGAUGAUCAGUCACACUGGAACUGAGACACGGUCCAGACUCCUACGGGAGGCAGCAGUGGGGAAUAUUGGACAAUGGGCGAAAGCCUGAUCCAGCCAUGCCGCGUGUGUGAAGAAGGUCUUCGGAUUGUAAAGCACUUUAAGUUGGGAGGAAGGGCAGUAAGUUAAUACCUUGCUGUCUUGACGUUACCGACAGAAUAAGCACCGGCUAACUCUGUGCCAGCCGCCGCCGUAAUAC